rnacentral:misc_RNA from 1 species
UUUCCGUAGGUGAACCUGCGGAAGGAUCAUUACUGAAUUGUCAAACGGGUUGUCGCUGGUCCCCAAACGGGGGCAUGUGCACGCUCUGUUUACACAUCCACUCACACCUGUGCUCCCUCUGUAGUUCUGUGGUCUGGGGGACCCUGUCUUCCUGCCGUAGUCCUACGUCUUUACACACACACUGUAAUAAAGUCUUAUGGAAUGUAUGCCGCGUCUAACGCAAUACAAUACAACUUUCAGCAACGGAUCUCUUGGCUCUCGCAUCGAUGAGAACGCAGC